GAUGAACGCUGGCGGCGUGCCUAAUACAUGCAAGUCGAGCGAACAGACGAGGAGCUUGCUCCUCUGACGUUAGCGGCGGACGGGUGAGUAACACGUGGAUAACCUACCUAUAAGACUGGGAUAACUUCGGGAAACCGGAGCUAAUACCGGAUAAUAUAUUGAACCGCAUGGUUCAUUAGUGAAAGACGGUUUUGCUGUCCCUAAUAGAUGGAUCCGCGUCGCAUUAGCUAGUUGGUAAGGUAACGGCUUACCAAGGCAACGAUGCGUAGCCGACCUGAGAGGGUGAUCGGCCACACUGGAACUGAGACACGGUCCAGACUCCUACGGGAGGCAGCAGUAGGGAAUCUUGCGCAAUGGGCGAAAGCCUGAUGCAGCAACGCCGCGUGAGUGAUGAAGGUCUUCGGAUCGUAAAGCUCUGUUAUUAGGGAAGAACAAAAGUGAAAUAAACUAUGCAUGUCUUGACGGUACCUAAUCAGAAAGCCACGGCUAACUACGUG
rnacentral:rRNA from 1 species